rnacentral:piRNA from 1 species
CACCAACGUAGCAGUGAUGGACACUAACU